rnacentral:rRNA from 1 species
AUUGAACGCUGGCGGCAGGCCUAACACAUGCAAGUCGAGCGAGCGGAGGACGGGUGUGAAUUGUAUGGGGGAUGCCCGCUAGAGGGGGAUAACUAUUGGAAAAGGUGGCUAAUACAGCAUAUUGUCGGAUAACGCCUAUGGGAUUAGCUAGUGGGUAAGGUAAUGGCUCACCUAGGCGACGAUCCCUAGCUGGUCUGAGAGGAUGAUCAGCCACACUGGGACUGAGACACGGCCCAGACUCCUACGGAGGCAGCAGUGGGGAAUAUUGCACAAUGGGCGCAAGCCUGAUGCAGCCAUGCCGCGUGUAUGAAGAAGGCCCUAGGGUUGUAAAGUACUUUCAGUCGGGAGGCGUUACCGGCAGAAGAAGCACCGGCUAACUCCGUGCCAGCCGCCGCGGUAAUAC